GACAGAGGGUGCAAACGUUGUUCGGAAUUACUGGGCGUAAAGCGCGUGUAGGCGGCAGGGCAAGUCGGGUGUGAAAGCCCUGGGCUCAACCCAGGAAGUGCAUUCGAUACUGCCUAGCUAGAGUCUCGGAGAGGUUGGUGGAACUCUCGGUGUAGAGGUGAAAUUCGUAGAUAUCGAGAAGAACACCGGUGGCGAAGGCGGCCAACUGGACGGUGACUGACGCUGAGACGCGAAAGCGUGGGGAGCAAACAGG
rnacentral:rRNA from 1 species